rnacentral:rRNA from 1 species
UACGAAGGGGGGCUAGCGUUGUUCGGAAUUACUGGGCGUAAAGCGCACGUAGGCGGAUAUUUAAGUCAGGGGUGAAAUCCCAGAGCUCAGCUCUGGAACUGCCUUUGAUACUGGGUAUCUCGAGUAUGGAAGAGGUGAGUGGAAUUCCGAGUGUAGAGGUGAAAUUCGUAGAUAUUCGGAGGAACACCAGUGGCGAAGGCGGCGACCUGGUCCGAUACUGACGCUGAGGUGCGAAAGCGUUGGGGGAGCAAACAGG